rnacentral:rRNA from 1 species
UACGGAGGAUGCGAGCGUUAUCCGGAUUUAUUGGGUUUAAAGGGUGCGUAGGCGGUCCGUUAAGUCAGCGGUAAAAUUGCGGGGCUCAACCCCGUCGAGCCGUUGAAACUGGCAGACUUGAGUUGGCGAGAAGUACGCGGAAUGCGCGGUGUAGCGGUGAAAUGCAUAGAUAUCACGAAGAACUCCGAUUGCGAAGGCAGCUUACCAGUCUGCGACUGACGCUCAGGCACGAAAGUGUGGGUAUCGAACAGG